rnacentral:tRNA from 1 species
UGUGUUGUGGCUCAGUGGUAGAGCACUCACCUAGCAUGUGUGAAGCACUGGGUUUGAUUCUCAUCAAUAUAA